UGCGGAGUGGACAAGUGGUUAAGUCGCCAGUGUCAUGAGCUGGAGAACUGGGGUUCGAAUCCCCACUCCGCUACCA
rnacentral:tRNA from 1 species